UGCGCGCGAGGGCCGAUGGGAGCCGACGCGAGCGACGGGAUCCAGCGGCGCGCGAGAUGCGGGUGAAUCGUGCGAUUGCCGAUUCAGCUGAGAGGAGGCGCGCGAGGGGAUCCAGCGCCGCGGGCGAUAAUGGCCGGCGCCCCAUCUGCCGGAAACUGCUCGCAAUCAUAUUCAGUUUCUUAGCGCGCAUUCAUGGCGAUUGAUGUGCCAAUCCCUUCUGCUGCCGAGCGGUACGUGUAUAUGCUUCCUCCUCUGGUACUCUUGGCUCGCCCUCUCUACUCAUGCCGGGUAGCGGGGUAGGGUUCCCUGUAUUGCUUUUUAGUUCAUUAUAAUUUAUUGUCGUACGAAGCAAUUACAUUUUCUUGAUGUCCUUUCAUACCAAAAAAGUGUGCUUACAGUUGAUGUUCAUGCUAGCGGUGCUCGAUUGAUUUUAUUUUGGAGCUUUAUACUGGAAUUUUUUGGUGUUGGUAACCUCAAAUGUCUUCUGGACAGGUAACAUCAAUAUUUUUACGUUGCACGAUUGUUUACAUUACAUCUUCCCUGUUGAUGCUGCACUACUUUCAGUUUCACUGGAGAUUUCCAUGCUCUUUGUACUUACGCCUCUUGAAGAUGGGCCAUAUCCUUCCUUUUGUUUAGACAAAGUGUCAGUAUGUUUAGUGUUUUCCUUUUGAUGUUCAGAAGCAGCGAUUGUGCUUUUGAACUAGCAGUGUCUGAGGCCAAUAUGUCACUGUUACAUACAGACCUACCAGGUCCACUGGAGUACUGCUUGAUAGAACUUUCUGUUUGCUGCCACUUUUUCACUAUUAUCUUUGUGCAUAGAUUUUCUGAAGCUCUCUGAGAAGUAACACCACUGGCGUUCGGUGCAACAAUUGUUCUUGUAACCUUGCCAUAUUUUGGAGGCAGAGGUUUGCCCUUAUUAUGCGUUACACAUGGUGGGCAAUACCAAUCUGCAUUAGACAUGCCUUCGUUCCCAUCCUGCUGAAGGCAAUUUAAGUCUAUUCCUCUCUCGCAAGCAUCACAAACGAGUAAACUCUCCACAAUAGUGGUGAAUGUUUUAUAUGUUUGACAGUCCAGCCGAGCAUGGAUAUACUCACUUGAUCACAGCAUCCAGCUAGGAUGAUUGGCAGGUUGAGUCAUAGGUGCCUUCUUUUCCUGAGAUUCCAGUGUUGCUUGUUCUUGAAAAGAUGUUCCUUGCGUCCUUGCCGUCAAUAAGAGUGCACAUGCUUUCGCUCCACGGCCAGUCAUGCAGAACUGGCUUCUCCAGACAGCAUCCAGCUUGCUGUUGUGGCACUCCAUUUCCAGAUAGAAUAGAGCCAGGUAUAGCCAAGUCCUCUAGAGGGAACCAUGCGAAUCAUUUGGAAUAAUCCUCUCGAGAAAUGAAAAGAAAAUAGUUUACUGAUCUGAAUAGUGAAGAGUAUUAAUCAAAGUGCUUCUUGAUAUUUCAGAAUCUUGCUUCAAGCUCCAUUGGCUAUUCAUCUUGAGAGAUUCCGGCAACCCAAAUAUACUAGAAGGCGGAAUCAUUUAUGCAAAAGGAGUUAAUUAUGUAGUUGAUUAGGAUUUGGAGUGGAACAUCUCCUGCAAAAAAAUAAAUAAAAAAUUUAUCUUGUUUGACCUCCAGGUGGAGGUGAGCACAACGACUUUUUCCUAUGGCUUGUGUUGGCUUUCACUUUCUGUUUUUUUUCCGUCCGUUGCUGACCAUAUCCAUUUGUUGAGAGCUUGAAAACAUCAGAUCAUGUGCUUUUCCAUUUCCACUAUUCACCCAGUAAAUGCUUUCUUCCAUCGAGGUUUCUGUAAUCAAACACAACUAAUCAUAUUACACUUGAUGAACUGACCCCUGCCAUUUGGUUGAAUGCAAACAAGAUCUUAAAUACCUAUGGUGCAGGCUUAUGAUUGAUUAUUAUACCGGCCAUGCCAUUUUGGUGAAUGGCAAAAGUGGAGUUGGAAGAAAGAUGCUUAUGCAAAAAAAUAAAAUUAGAAAUGCUUAUGCCCUAUCUUGCUUUUAUGUGGCUGGGCAAAGCUGAAUGUGUUGAUGACUGGUCGAGGCGAGCAGGUUUAAUUACUAUUUUUGUGUCACUAGUUAAUUUUUCAUUUCUCUUCCGCCUGCGCUGAAAUAGUGGAGAUGUGGACUAUGGACUAUCUUCUGGGAAUA